CCCUUUACCUCUUUUUAUGCUACCUGUGUUCACUCGCUGAAUUUGCGUUUGUCGCGUUUGGUGUGAACGCCCCAUGAGUCGGUGCUAAACAGUCAGCCGGUCGGUCACAGCCAUGAAGAACCACAGUAUAUAAAUGUUGUGAGUGAUGACAGUCCAGUGAGUGGAGGAGGAGCAGGCUCAAGCUUUAUUCCUCUGAGGUCAACCCUGACAUGAGACACAGCUAUGCAACAGUUUGGUGUAAAGAAACAUGAGACACAGUCCCAGACAGGAAGAGUGUAAAGGAGGAACAACUCUGUUGUUGCAGUUCAUCAGCAGAUGCAUGUCUUCGUAGGCCUUUUGUGUCACAGAUGCUACAAAGGGACCAGUGCGGGACGUAUAUGUACAGUACAUGGUGGAGAACCUCACUUUGUUCCUCCUUCGCGAUAAAGAAUUCAGACCUUUAUUAAGCAGGUGACUCACGGGUCACAGUCAGUGCUGUAUAAUAAUAAUAAUGCAAUGUCUCAGCAACUCAAAGGGUGGAGGAUGACACGGGUGUCGAGUGCAAACGUCAGUCAAAGCUACAUCACACAGGUGCACGUGUCCUGGAGACGCACCUGUCGCAUCAAUGCAAAUAUGUGAAUCACUGCCUUCAUUUAAAUAAAGCAUCUCUGGGACAGAACAGAGAGAGUGGGCGGGGCCGGGGGAGGGGGGGUCAACAAUGACAUAUUUACAGAGAAGAGAAGAGACCCCACAGAGUGUACAGAGUACAUGACAAAUAAAUUCAGAGCCACAGUACUUUCUCAUGUACUGGCGAUGCAGUGUUACAUAAAUAAUGUGAAAGUACACGGUAACGUCAGUCACAACAUGAAGAGAGCAGCACACUGAACAUGAACCACAAGUACCACUGUGUCUGUGUUUACAUUUUCUACACCAGAAACAGCUGCUACAAAAACAUCUGGAACUGCAGUACUGUACUGCAAAGGUUUUUGGCAUGUGUGUACAUUUACUUUGUCUCCCGUUUCCUGCAGCCGUGUUUAAAGCAAACGUAGAGAAGAAGAAGAAGACGAUCGUUGACAACAACGUUCAACUGCAGAAGGCACAGAUGUUUGGUUGGUUCGGAGCUUUCUUUUAAUGAGACGUUCGUGGACCGCGUUCCACCUCAGCCUCCAGUGAUAGCGCUGAAGAGCACGUCUAAAAUUCACGGGUGAAACGUCCAACAUCCCAGAAUCACUGUUGUUAGAAAGAACCUCCGCUUCUCUACGUUUACUUUAAAACCUAAAAGAAUGUGGUACAAAAAACGUUCUAAGACAGUAAAUGUACUCACCUGCCAGAACCUGUUCUACAGAACUGUUGACGUUUGACGCGUGUUGUGAUGAAGUCUGGAGACACCUGGUGUUACAACGUAUUAGGACAUAGGUAUAUUUAACAAUUAUUAAAUAAGAAACUAAUAUAUUAAUACUAUCCACAUGUCAUAAAUAGAAAUAUAAAAUAAAUAUUUAAAAUACAAUGUAAAAUACAGUUACAGUGUCAAACUGUAGGCGUUAGCACUGAAGGGCCUGGAGCCGUGGGGACCUGUGAGUGACUACAGUCGGUGAUUGAGGUUAAACUGAUGAUGAGUUGGCGCUCAGUGUGAGUGAUUCAACAUGUGGUCAGCGGUCCGUUCGAAAUACUGAGCGUGUCAGAAACUUCUUUUUCUUUCUGUCUCUGCAAAAACAUAACAUUUCAGCUGAUACAUUUCAUCUCCAAACCUGCUGUAAGUCUCAUGUAAAUACGUUCAUGCUCUAAAUAUAGACAUUUGAACCCUACGUUGUUCUAAUGCAGUAUUUUUAUCCACACUGUGACACUGGGUCAGAUUUAUAAAAAACGAAGAAAUGAGUAGAAGACCAGCUGCGUCACUAACGCUGUGGACCAACACGUGAGCAGAGCGUGAGGGACGACUGACCGCGUCACACCGUCGACCCACCGACCCACCGCUUUAUACUACUCAGGUCUCCAGGAGAGAUGGGCAGGGGUUUUUGACCAGAACUCACGGUCAGUGAGUGAGGAGAAUGUAAAUGUAUAAACGCAGCAUAAAUCAGUGGUUCUCAAAUGAUCAGUCCCACCAGGAACCGAGGCUGGACUUUUUUUUUUUCAAUAAAUAACCCAAUUUAACAAAAACUUUUGUUUUCCAAUAAGGUCCAAAAUUUAAGUUCCAUGUUCUGAACUGAAACCAGGAUGUGUGCUAGAGGUUCUCUAUCUGUCCACAACUUGACCAAAAGAACUGAGGGGGGAGGAGGGGGGGGGGCUAUUUAGAAAUAAACAACCAUUCACACUUGCAUUCACACUAAUAUUCCCACCAGUGUAAAGAGAACUAUCAGUCAAAUCCCAAAUCUGCGUGUUCUUGAACUGUGGUAGAACCUGGAGAACCCCCCCCCCCACAUACACACACAUACACACAUAGGGGAAACAUGAGAACUCCAUACAGAAAGACCAGCAGUUAAAAGAUCAAGACAAAGUUAAAAAAAAAAUGGAACCAAUAACUGCAACAACACCAUCCACUUCAGCCAGCCUUCAAAUUCUUCUCUGUGACCCAGGUUUGGGCCUCGACUCAGCAUUUGAGAAACACUGCAUUAAUGGUGUCAGUGAGGAAGUCAAUAGAAUCAGAGAAACGGUGGUUCGGACUUUUUCUAAAUCGCAGAAAUGAUUUCUGAUCUUUCGGAGGCUCAUCCGUUUGUGAAAGAAAAUUCCCAUCAUUUUAAACAUUGGACUCUGUUUAAACUCACUUUUAAAAAAUGACUCAUGAACGCCUUUGAUCACGUGACGACAGAUGAGGAAACAUGAGAACCAGAGGUCUGAGAGUCUGGACGGACGGUGGACUAACAGAGACGCAGCAGGUGAACAUCAAAGCUGUGUUUAAAGGUGAUAGAAGUGCAUAGAUCUGCGGCGGCCGAGCCAUGAGUGGAUACAGCAUUCUUUAAGGUUGAGUGAGUGGUGGGCACCAGCUGUGGGAAACUUCAAACUCUCACUGUGUAAAUAUCAAUAUGAUAAACAUAUCUGCCAGCAGCCGGUUCAGUCUGAGGGUGAGAAGCUGAUAUGUUACAACAACGAGCGUGAGUGUGUGAGUGUGUGUGUGUAUGCAGAGGUACGAAGGUGCGUGAGGAAAGAAAGCUGUGAAAAUGUCCAGAGGCUGGAAACGACCAGGA